UACGUAGGGGGCUAGCGUUAUCCGGAAUCAUUGGGCGUAAAGCGCGUGUAGGCGGUCCGGUAAGUCCGCUGUGAAAGUCGGGGGCUCAACCCUCGAAUGCCGGUGGAUACUGUCGGGCUAGAGUGCGGAAGAGGCGAGUGGAAUUCCUGGUGUAGCGGUGAAAUGCGCAGAUAUCAGGAGGAACACCAAUUGCGAAGGCAGCUCGCUGGGACGUAACUGACGCUGAGACGCGAAAGCGUGGGGAUCAAACAGG
rnacentral:rRNA from 1 species